rnacentral:rRNA from 1 species
CGGAGAGUUUGAUCCUGGCUCAGAACGAACGCUGGCGGCGUGCCUAACACAUGCAAGUCGAACGGAUUUUACCUUCGGGUAAAGUUAGUGGCGCACGGGUGAGUAACGCGUGGGUAUCUGCCUAUCUGUGGGGGACAACUUGGAGAAAUCCAAGCUAAUACCGCAUACGCUCUACGGAGGAAAGCGGGGGAUCUUCGGACCUCGCGCAGAUAGAUGAGCCCGCGUCAGAUUAGCUAGUUGGUGAGGUAAUGGCUCACCAAGGCGAUGAUCUGUAACUGGUUUGAGAGGA